rnacentral:rRNA from 1 species
UGGGGAAUAUUGCACAAUGGGGGAAACCCUGAUGCAGCGACGCCGCGUGAGUGAAGAAGUAUCUCGGUAUGUAAAGCUCUAUCAGCAGGAAAGAUAAUGACGGUACCUGACUAAGAAGCCCCGGCUAACUACGUGCCAGCAGCCGCGGUAAUACGUAGGGGGCAAGCGUUAUCCGGAUUUACUGGGUGUAAAGGGAGCGUAGACGGCAGCGCAAGUCUGGAGUGAAAUGCCGGGGCCCAACCCCGGAACUGCUUUGGAAACUGUGCGGCUCGAGUGCGGGAGAGGUAGGCGGAAUUCCUAGUG